rnacentral:rRNA from 1 species
GACAGAGGUGGCAAGCGUUGUUCGGAAUUACUGGGCGUAAAGGGUGUGUAGGUGGUUGGAUAAGUCAGAGGUGAAAGCCCACAGCUUAACUGUGGAAGUGCCUUUGAAACUGUCUGACUUGAGUGCAGGAGAGGAGGGUGGAAUUCCCGGUGUAGAGGUGAAAUUCGUAGAUAUCGGGAGGAACACCAGCGGCGAAGGCGGCCCUCUGGACUGCAACUGACACUGAAACACGAAAGCGUGGGGAGCAAACAGG